UUCCAGCUCCAAUAGCGUAUAUUAAAGUUGUUGCAGUUAAAAAGCUCGUAGUUGAAUUUCGGGGUUAGUAGGUUGGUCAUGCCUCUGGUAUGUACUGGUCUCACUGAUUCCUCCUUCCUGAUGAAUCUUAAUGCCAUUAAUUUGGUGUUUUGGGGAAUUUGGACUGUUACUUUGAAAAAAUUAGAGUGUUUAAAGCAAGCUAACGCUUGAAUACAUUAGCAUGGAAUAAUGAAAUAGGACGUUCGAUCCUAUUUUGUUGGUUUCUAGGAUUGACGUAAUGAUUAAUAGGGAUAGUUGGGGGCAUUAGUAUUCAAUUGUCAGAGGUGAAAUUCUUGGAUUUAUUGAAGACUAACUACUGCGAAAGCAUUUGCCAAGGAUGUUUUCAUUAAUCAAGAACGAAAGUUAGGGGAUCGAAGACGAUCAGAUACCGUCGUAGUCUUAACCAUAAACUAUGCCGAC
rnacentral:rRNA from 1 species